CAGAAGUCUCACUGGCCUAACCUUGAGGUGACAUCAUUGCUAUAUUUCUUCUGGACGCACUAGGAGACAAUCUGUUUCUUUGCCUUUUCCAGUUUCUAGAGGCCAUCUUUCCCCUUGGCUCAUGGUCCCUUCCUUCAUCUUCAAAGCCAGCGGUGUAGCAUCGUAGCAUCUUCAUGUCUCCUUGGGAUAAGAUGGGGCUCUCCUGGAUGAUUCAAGCAUCAUUCACUCUUACUGCUGGGACUCACACAUGGCAACGAUGGGACCCUGAAUGAGUUAAGGUGGAUGCAUUGAUGGCCCCUCCUGUACUGCAUUAGAUGGCAUCUGUGUAACCAGCUCAUGAAGUUUGGCAGAACAUGGAGAAAGACAUGAGUAAAGAAGAUGGAUGUGGAACUAAGACUCAGAUCCAAUAUUGGCUGUGCCAAAUGAAGAAAUGGAAAUAGAUUUGAAAGGUGGGAACUUUGAAUGGAAAACUUUUUUUCCUUGCUUUCCAACCUAGAAUCUGUUCAAAAGUGUUAGACAGCUCUCAGAAUGCACAGUGGGAGAAUAAAAUUUCAAAUGGAAAAUUUUAAGUGCCAAGAGCCUCUCAUCACUAGGAUAACAUUUUGUUUUUUCUUUCUUGAAUUGUCUGACUUCCUGUCCUUUGCUGAACUAUUUUGUAACCAUUUUAUUAGUAUUUAGAUGUUACAUAAAAUAUUUUGGUUUGGGUUUUCUAUAGGUUUUUGAAGGCAUGUGAAAUAAGGUCAAAUCUUGUAUUUUUGUAAAAUUUUAUCAAUACAUUCCUAAAGAAGAGGUUCAAAGGGUGGCGAUAGAGAGAGGAGAGCAGUUAGUCCUAACCCUUAACGUUAUUCUCCUCUUUUGGCACUUUGGUUCUUAGUAAGGAACAAGUCUUUCUUUUUCUUUUUUUUUUUUUUUUUUUUUUUUUGAGACAGGGUUUCCCUCUGUCACCCAGGCUGGAGUGCAGCAGCACUAUUGUGGCUCACUGCAGCGUCAACCUUCUGGGCUCCAGCGAUCCUCUUGCCUCAGCCUCCUUGAGUGAGUCUUCCUUGAACAUUUACUUUCAACCAGGUUUGAUUAUAAGUGGUUUUGUUUCCUUUUGGUUUUGCUUUUGCUUUUUUCUGAAUUCAGCAUUUUCUUGUAAGUUGUCACAGUUACACUAAUUCUUAAGGAAAUAGAUUCACUCCACAUUUGCGUUGUUGGAGUUGUAGCUACCUUCUUUGUGUAAGUGGUUCACUGAUGUGUUUUUUGGGAUAAUCAAUACAGAUGAAUAUUAUAUAUUCAUCAGAUUUCAGAUUAGCAGUCCUCGAAUACAAGGACAUUGUUUGGUAAAUAUGAGCGAAAGAGGAAAUCUUUAAAGUUAGUGCAGUUGACUCACAAGAUUGAUGCACUGAGAACAAACUCCAUGUCAUCUCCAUCCCUGGAUCUCAGGGAGUGGCCUUCUUCCUCUCUUGCUCUCUGAUAUGUGACAGUUUGUAAGGUUGCACGAGAAGUUUAUCUAGAUAGUGGCCUCCAAGUAGACCCCCAGUGGUCACAGAACGGAAAGACUCCCAAAUUAAUGUCC
rnacentral:lncRNA from 1 species